rnacentral:rRNA from 1 species
AAGUCCCGUAACGAGCGCAACCCUUACCGCUAGUUGCUACAGUUCGGCUGAGCACUCUAGUGGAACCGCUGGUGAUAAACUGGAGGAAGGUGGGGAUGACGUCAAGUCAUCAUGGCCUUUAUGUCCAGGGCUACACACGUGCUACAAUGGCUGGUACAAAGGGCAGCAAACCCGCGAGGGGAAGCCAAUCCCAAAAAACCGGUCUCAGUUCGGAUUGCAGUCUGCAACUCGACUGCAUGAAGUUGGAAUCGCUAGUAAUCGCGGAUCAGCAUGCCGCGGUGAAUACGUUCCCGGGUCUUGUACACACCGCCCGU